CUUAUCAAGAGUGACUGAGGGACAGGCCCUGUGAAGUCCGGCAACCUGCGCAAGCAAGGUGCUAAAUCCUGCGGUUUAACCGAAAGAUGAG
rnacentral:ncRNA from 1 species